rfam:Brachypodium distachyon strain Bd21 chromosome 4, whole genome shotgun sequence.
GUAGUACUCCCUCCGUCUAACAAAAGACGUCUUAAAGUUUUCGAAAUUUGAAUGUAUCGAGACAUAACUUUGUGUAUAAAUGCAUUCAAAUUUAGUCAAAAUUGAGACAUUUUUUGUUGGACGGACGAAGUAAUUA